rnacentral:rRNA from 1 species
GACGAACGCUGGCGGCGUGCUUAACACAUGCAAGUCGAACGGAAAGGCCCUGCUUUUUUGGGGUUCUCGAGUGGCGAACGGGUGAGUAACACGUGAGUAACCUGCCCUUGACUUUGGGAUAACUUCAGGAAACUGGGGCUAAUACCGUAUAGGAGCUCCUGCUGCAUGGUGGGGGUUGGAAAGUUUAGGCUGUUGGGGAUGGACUCGCGGCUUAUCGGCUUGUUGGUUGGGUAGUGGCUUACCAAGGCUUUGACGGGUAGCCGGCCUGAGAGGGUGACCGGCGACAUUAGGCCUGAGAUAGGGCGCAGAGUGCUAUGGGAGGCAGCAGUGGGGAAUAUUGCCCAACGGGCGGACGCGUGAGGAAGCAACGCUGGGUGCGGGAUGACGGUCUUCGGGUUGUAAACCGCUUUAGCCUGUGACGAAGCGUGAGUGACGGUAAUGGGUAAAGAAGCACCGGCUAACUACGUG